AUCACUUUCAACAACGGAUCUCUUG
rnacentral:rRNA from 1 species